GCCGGCUGUCCCUCCUCGUCCUGGACCCACGGGCUCCCAUCAGGCGUGUGUGCACCUUCCGCAGCCCGUGAGCGGGAGCAUGGGCAUCUCCGUCUCAGAGGUUCGCAGCUGGCUGACAAAGUGCCCUUCCUCCCCACCAACAGGAUUAGACAAACCUACUGUAAACUGUUAUAAGCUGUGUGACCUGUCUUCCCAUUCAGAGUUUUCCAUUUAAUGAACAGCUUUCUGCUGUGAAACUCCGGGUGCUGUUAUUGCUGCCUUGAAGUAGGUCUCUGUCGAAAUCUAGCUGUGCCUUAUUAUGAAGCCGCCCCAGAUUAACACGGGGUCCUGGGCUCUGUGGAGGCCUUGCAUUGUGUGUGCUGUCGAAGUGGAUGGAAAAUCCCACCAGAAUUUCCCAGGAGGCGCCUGCAGCUUCAUGGCCUCUGACAAGGGUGUAACCCUCUCCAGCAGCCUUGGUGAGACGGUGGCCUUACCUGGGACAACAGGCCUGUUUCCUUUGGGCAGGCGGUGGGCCUGCAGAGCGGCAGUCAUUCAUCUAAAUCACAUAAAGAAGGGACUUCCCUGCUGGCACAGUGGUUUAGAAUCUGCCUGCUGGGCUUCCCUGAUGGCGCAGUGGUUAAGAAUCCACUGCCAGUGCAGAGGACACAGGUUUGAGCCCUGUUCUGGGAAGAUCCCACAUGCCGUGGAGCAACUGAGCCCGUGCACCACAACUACUGAGCCUGCGCUCUAGAGCCCGUGAGCCACAACUACUGAAGCCCACGCGCCUAGAGCCUGUGCUCCGCAACAAGAGAAGCCACCGCAAUGAGAAGCCCGCGCACCACAACGAAGAGCAGCCCCCGCUUGCCACAGCUAGAGAAAGCCUGCGCGCAGCAACGAAGACCCAGCGCAGCCAUAAAUCAAUAAAUCAAUAAA